CCCCUAGUAACUGCGAGUGAAGCGGGAAAAGCUCAAAUUUAAAAUCUGGCGGUCUCUGGCCGUCCGAGUUGUAAUCUAGAGAAGUGUUACCCGCGCUGGACCGUGUACAAGUCUCCUGGAAUGGAGCGUCAUAGAGGGUGAGAAUCCCGUCUCUGACACGGACUACCAGGGCUUUGUGGUAUGCUCUCAAAGAGUCGAGUCGUUUGGGAAUGCAGCUCAAAAUGGGUGGUAAAUUCCAUCUAAAGCUAAAUAUUGGCGAGAGACCGAUAGCGAACAAGUACCGUGAGGGAAAGAUGAAAAGAACUUUGGAAAGAGAGUUAAACAGUACGUGAAAUUGCUGAAAGGGAAACGCUUGAAGUCAGUCGCGUUGGCCGGGGAUCAGCCUCGCAUUUGCGUGGUGUACUUCUCGGUUUGACGGGUCAGCAUCAAUUUUGACUGCUGGAAAAAGGCUUGGGGAAUGUGACAGCUUCGGCUGUGUUAUAGCCCCUUGUCAUAUACAGUAGUUGGGAUUGAGGAACUCAGCACGCCGCAAGGCCGGGUUUCGACCACGUUCGUGCUUAGGAUGCUGGCAUAAUGGCUUUAAGCGACCCGUCUUGAAACACGGACCAAGGAGUCUAACAUGCCUGCGAGUGUUUGGGUG
rnacentral:rRNA from 1 species